rnacentral:tRNA from 1 species
GCCGGGCGUAGCGGUGACGCGACGACCCGCAGGUCAGAGCACACUUCCGCAAAAUGCUGCGAGGUUUGGCGAGCACUCGCCGAACGUCGUGGUGUCGCGGGUUCGAGUCCCGCCCCCGGCU